GAUGAACGCUGGCGGCGUGCCUAAUACAUGCAAGUCGAGCGAACAGACGAGGAGCUUGCUCCUCUGACGUUAGCGGCGGACGGGUGAGUAACACGUGGAUAACCUACCUAUAAGACUGGGAUAACUUCGGGAAACCGGAGCUAAUACCGGAUAAUAUAUUGAACCGCAUGGUUCAAUAGUGAAAGACGGUUUUGCUGUCACUUAUAGAUGGAUCCGCGCCGCAUUAGCUAGUUGGUAAGGUAACGGCUUACCAAGGCAACGAUGCGUAGCCGACCUGAGAGGGUGAUCGGCCACACUGGAACUGAGACACGGUCCAGACUCCUACGGGAGGCAGCAGUAGGGAAUCUUCCGCAAUGGGCGAAAGCCUGACGGAGCAACGCCGCGUGAGUGAUGAAGGUCUUCGGAUCGUAAAACUCUGUUAUUAGGGAAGAACAAAUGUGUAAGUAACUAUGCACGUCUUGACGGGACCUAAUCAGAAAGCCACGGCUAACUACGUG
rnacentral:rRNA from 1 species